GCCCAGACUCCUACGGGAGGCAGCAGUGGGGAAUAUUGCACAAUGGGGGAAACCCUGAUGCAGCGACGCCGCGUGAAGGAUGAAGUAUUUCGGUAUGUAAACUUCUAUCAGCAGGGAAGAAAAUGACGGUACCUGACUAAGAAGCCCCGGCUAACUACGUGCCAGCAGCCGCGGUAAUACGUAGGGGGCAAGCGUUAUCCGGAUUUACUGGGUGUAAAGGGGGCGCAGACGGCAGCGCAAGCCAGGAGUGAAAGCCCGGGGCCCAACCCCGGGACUGCUCUUGGAACUGCGCGGCUGGAGUGCAGGAGGGGCAGGCGGAAUUCCUGGUGUAGCGGUGAAAUGCGUAGAUAUCAGGAGGAACACCGGUGGCGAAGGCGGCCUGCUGGACUGCGACUGACGUUGAGGCCCGAAAGCGUGGGGAGCAAACAGGAUUAGAUACCCGCGUAC
rnacentral:rRNA from 1 species